CAGUAGCCACGGUAAUACGUAGGUGGCAAGCGUUGUCCGGAAUUAUUGGGCGUAAAGGGCUCGCAGGCGGUUUCUUAAGUCUGAUGUGAAAGCCCCCGGCUCAACCGGGGAGGGUCAUUGGAAACUGGGAAACUUGAGUGCAGAAGAGGAGAGUGGAAUUCCACGUGUAGCAGUGAAAUGCGUAGAGAUGUGGAGGAACACCAGUGGCGAAGGCGACUCUCAGGUCUGUAACUGACGCUGAGGAGCGAAAGCGUGGGGAGCGAACGGGAUUAGAUACCCCCGUAGUCCCUGUCUCUUAUAC
rnacentral:rRNA from 1 species